UUUUUUCUCAUUGCAUUUUGGUACCCUUGCUCCUGUUCUUUGCUGAGACCAAGAGGUGCAGGAGCAUAUGCAAGUAAGAGCAGAAAAUGCAAAUCUGGAUGAUACUCUUCAGCUUCCUAAUACAAGAGGAAAAUAUUGACAGAACCUAGCAUCUGAAGAUAUGGCACAUAACUCAAAGAAUGUACAGUUUAAAGACAACCUGCAAAUGAUGAGAGGAAAUGGAUACAAGCAUGCUCCACAAUUCACAAUAGAAUAUUGCAAUAAAACAAGCUACUUUUAUAUGCCAUACCAUGGCAAGCGUGCAGCCUGCUCAGCUCACCAAUGCUGCUGCUGUUGUGUCCUGGGUGCUUCCUGGGUGCUGCUGGCAGCAGACGGUGCAAUAGGACUGCAAACCAUCGUCGUCAUCAUACACCGCUUCUGCUGCAACUCUGCUCUGCUGAUAUUGCCUCGACAGUGAAUUUCUCCAUGUCGUCUGUCGUGGGCUCCCGGGUCCUCGGGAAGUGUGCACAGUGCUAACCGUCAUCCUCCACCACUUCCACUGCAACUCUUCUCUCCUGGUGCCAUGAAUCCACCUGGCAGGUCCUCUUGUCAUUCGGUAUGAAUAGCUAUUCUUGUGGCAGUCAUCAUCAUUCACCGAUUCUGCAACAACUCUGCUUUCCUGCUCUUCUUCAGAAGCCAUAACAUGGCAAGCAUGGAGCCCGCUCAACUCACCGCUGCUGUUGUGAGCAUAUAAACACCUUGCGCAUUAUCCUGCAGUAUGUGCAGAACCAGAACCUGCAAAUGCAGGAGAGGAGGCAAUGACAACGUGAUCACAAUAGUGAUGAGGACUUGGACACAGACGUCUCUUAAAGCCUGAGCCCUGGCAAUUUGGACAUCAUGGUGGUAAAGGGGCAGGUUCAUGCCACAGAACACUGAUUCUGGGCCUAGGAAACGAGCACAGACUGGUGGGACCACAUAGUGUUGCAGGUCUGGGAUGAUUCCCAGUAGCUGUGAAACUUUUGCAUGCAUAAGGGCACUUUCAUGGAACUUUGUGACUUGCUUUUCCCUACCCUGAAGUGUAGAAAUACCAAGAUAAGAGCAGCCCUCACAGUUGAGAAGUGAGUGGUGAUAGCCCUCUGGAAUUUUGCAAUGCCAGACAGCUACCGGUCAGUCAAUAAUCAAUUUGG